rnacentral:lncRNA from 1 species
GUAGUCCUUCAGCAUUAAGGUCACUUCACUAGACUAGCAAAGAAUCAGGUUUAGUUAUACUGAGUCAAAUCUUAAAUUACAUAUCCGUAACACAAUUAAGCGUAAAUCUCCAUUUGAUUCCACAAUUAUGAGGAUAUAAUGGCCUGAUUUACGUGAAAGUUUAACGGAGAAAAAAACCAAAGAUGUAAAAAGGUGAAAUAGCAGUCAUUCACUACAACUUGUUCAAAUGCCUUGUUGACAGAAUAUCUUUUUAGCUGUCUGUUACAUUUCAGUAUUUCAGUUACAUUUCAGAUGUUAGCAACAGCAUUGCAAAGGAUAUGGAUUCAACAAAAACACAUUGUUCUUUUAAUUUAGAACCCGAUAGCUGUCCUGGGGGAUACGUUUUGUUUAAGCCGAGGGAGGAGUACAAUCCAACCCGUUAGGUUCCAUACGAUUACAGAUAGCUGCCUUUCGGUUUCGGUACGGUUCUUGGAACAUAGAAGGGAAUGAUCAUAUCAUAAUGUCAUCUGUAUUAUUCCAUCGUUUUGUUGUUCUUUCAUCGGCUUCCAUUUUGGAUUCUACUUUCGUCAGCUUCCAUUUUGGAUUCUACUUUUGUCAGCUUCCAUUUCUGCCAAUUUGAAAUUUAGGGAUUGGCGUGUCAAAUCAAAUCAGCCUUAAAUGCAUUUCUUAUUCAUACGCAGCAAGCAGCACUGACUGAAAGCUUCCUAUGCUCUGAGGGGCAGAUUGUACUAUAUUUUGUUGUUCGCUAAAGAGAAUAUGUAGUCUUGAUUUAGUUUUUAUGUUCAUGAGUAAAUGAGUCCUUACAACUGGAAUGAUAAUGGUAAUAAUAAUAGUAAUAGUAUUGAUGAUGAUUAUAAUAAUUACAAUAAUAAUAUGUUUACCAUAAUGGUUUCUGGGGGACAUUCUCUACUGUGUUUGUCCUUCAUUUUUAUGUCAUUUUGUUAAUGAAAUACUUGUUUUCCCACCACCUUUCUAAUACCAAUAGGGACGUCUCUGGUUCGCAAACAAAAUGAUUGCCAAAACAACAGCGCAGUGAAAAGUUAUGGGCUUGACUUAAACAAGUUGGCGUAUAUCAGACACACAUUCAAUUAACAUGCUAAAAACAAGAGGGCAGGAGAGAAAAUGAAGUGAUAAGUAAUAAAUAAAUACACAGAGAUGAAAUGCAAAGAGAGUCAGAAAACCUGACAAUUGUCCUUGACCACAGGGAACUUACAACCUAGAAAAGAGGGUCGUACUUACGUAUGAAUACUUGAGUAAAGAAUGCAUGGUAAAAAAAAAAAGAAUUUGUAUUAUUCUGUGUUUUAAUAGCAUUGUAUUGUUUAUGACACUAGACACUGUAUGUUGAAAUGUUGUAUUAAAAAAAAAGUGUUUCCAACCAAUUUAUUACUGUGACUUUCAUCUCUUGUUGGUUGUUUGCUCUUCUACCGUCAUUAAUGUUUCAUCCUUGACAGACAGACACUCUUCUUUGAACACCUGGUCAGUUCUAGGCUCACAACACACAUGUAUCUUAACUGCAUGCGUUUGAUACUCAGAACUAUCAGUCCAACCUUUAAUAACCAAUACCCAUAUUGAACCCAAGACACUGUAAGACGCAG